CCGGUCAGCGGGCCGGCGCGCCAGUGGCGGCGGCAGCGGGCACGGGCGGCCGCAGCUGACGCACGGUGUGGAGUACUGUACCGAUGGCUGUGAACAUCCCUUCUGGAACCACGUCGGAUCUUCUGUCGGUG